rnacentral:rRNA from 1 species
AUGAAUGUCUUAAGCUGGAACUGCCGGGAAGGGGGGAAUACCCGGACAGUUCGUGAGUUAGCGACUAUCUGUCAGUCGCAUUCCCCCAGUAUGGUGUUUUUGUGUGAAACAAGACAGAAGGCUGAGAAAAUAAAAAAGGUGCGUGGGAGGAUUGGUUUGAAGGGUUUUGCUGGGGUUGACAGUAAUGGUAUGAGUGGUGGUCUCGCUCUUUUUUGGCAUGAGAACUACGAAGUGGAGAUCUUGGAUGAAGAAGAACACUUUAUAGAUGCAGUGGUCCGUGUCCAGGAGGGGUCGGCGCAAUGGAGGAUCACUUGUAUUUACGGUGAACCACGGGUAGAAAACAGGCACAUCAUGUGGUCAAAAAUCGAUUAG